rnacentral:tRNA from 1 species
GCGGGGGUAGCCUAGCCUGGUCAAUGGCGCAGGGUUGAGGGCCCUGUAGUUUAGUACUUACGCGUGUUCGAAUCACGUCUCCCGCA